rnacentral:rRNA from 1 species
AUCCUGGCUCAGGAUGAACGCUGGCGGCGUGCCUAACACAUGCAAGUCGAACGAAGCACAUACGACGGAACUCUUCGGAGGGAAGAUGUAUGUGACUGAGUGGCGGACGGGUGAGUAACGCGUGGGUAACCUGCCCUAUACAGGGGGACAACAGUUGGAAACGACUGCUAAUACCGCAUAAGCGCACAGUACCGCAUGGUACAGAGCGAAAAACUCCGGUGGUAUAGGAUGGACCCGCGUCUGAUUAGUUAGUUGGCGGUGUAACGGACCACCAAGACCGCGAUCGGUAGCCGACCUGAGAGGGUGACCGGCCACAUUGGGACUGAGACACGGCCCAGACUCCUACGGGAGGCAGCAGUGGGGAAUAUUGCACAAUGGAGGAAACUCUGAUGCAGCGACGCCGCGUGAGCGAAGAAGUAUUUCGCUAUGUAAAGCUCUGUCAGCAGGGAAGAUAAUGACGGUACCUGACCAAGAAGCCCCGGCUAACUACGUG